UACAGAGGGGGCAAGCGUUAUUCGGAAUUAUUGGGCGUAAAGGGCGCGUAGGCGGUGCGGUAAGUCACCUGUGAAACCUCUGGGCUUAACUCAGAGCCUGCAGGCGAAACUGCCGUGCUUGAGUGUGGGAGAGGUGCGUGGAAUUCCCGGUGUAGCGGUGAAAUGCGUAGAUAUCAGGAGGAACACCUGCGGUGUAGACGGCUUACUGGACCAUCACUGACGCUGAGGCACGAAAGCGUGGGUAGCAAACAGG
rnacentral:rRNA from 1 species